GCCCCAAGUGGUUUUGCAGAGCAGCAGCAAGCUCCUGAAGAACUGCCACAUUUCAGUGUGCAUUUCCUAUUAGUGAACAGAAGUAUUUCCUACUUACACAGUACUUGUCUCCAUGGAUCUUCCAUCAAGUUAGCCCACAAGGAUCUGAGCCAGAAGGGGCAUUUGCUCCGUAGUGCUGCGUUGCUGGGGAGCUGGCUGGGCAUGACGGGGCUGCAGCUGGCCCGGGUGUUCCGUCCCUCAUCCACCUCUAGAGACACUCCCUGGAGCACGAGCAGUGAGACCAGGCAGGUCUGCAGCUGGAACGGCCAAGAAUUCCGCAUGCACACCGCAGCCCCUCUGAGGGGGAAAGAGGAACCGUGACACACGAGACAAAUUAAAAGCAUAUUAAAUAUGCAGUUCUACUUUCUAGCCAGGAACUGUUU
rnacentral:lncRNA from 1 species